rnacentral:lncRNA from 11 species
AAAAGAAUGGUCAAAAUUCAGAGGCUCCGUUCUCUUGCAUUUUGAAAGCUAUUAGGAUGAAAUUUGCCAGAAUGGAAGCAAAAAUUAACCACUCUUUGCCUAUCAAGUUUCAUAAUGUUUGACCCAUCCGCUGAUUUUUGGGGAUUUUUGAAGCAACAUUUUUUAAAAAUGCUAGCAGAUCGAUGGCCACGCCUCUCCCUCCCUCUCUCUUCCGCUCUGAUUGGCUGAGAGGCAUGCCAACAUGGCUUCUCCUCUCAGAGGGACUACAGCUACAUCCGAAGACAUCAGAAACAAACAAAAAAAGUCAGUAUUGCUGCAAAAAUCAAUGGAUUUGGAUAUAUGACCUCUGGCUGGUGAAGAAUUUUGAAACCCAAAGUAAGAUUAAGAAGAACAAGACAUGGAAAUUGUCAAAUGAAGUGGAUCCUGCUUUUUGGAAAAAUCAGCAAGACCGGAUGAAAAACUAUCUUAAAAAUCAUUUAUGUAUAGCAUCACCAUGCACAUACUUAAAUAAAUGAGAAACACAUGGAGUUAGCUGUAAGUCCACUUGCAGUUGAGUUAUUGAGAAACAAGUAUAUAACUUUUAAGAUAUUUUUUUACCCCAUUUGUCUCCCCUACUGACUGACAAAUAAAUUUUAUAUGAAACAUACUCAGGA